GUUUGUUUGUGGUCUUUCUGUUUCUAGGUGGAAGCUGAAUUAGUGAGGAUGACUCCUGCUCCUGUCAUCUCUAAGCUCCUCACACAUCUUUACCUGCACAUGAGGAAAAUCACUCCUGUAGAAUGCAGAUGUUCAGAGGGAGAUGAUGCCACAUCUGGUCCAGCUGAUGGAAGGUCUUGAAGUUCUCUGACUGGCCUCGACUGAAGAUGGUCGUCUCACUGGAUUUAAGGUUCAGAUGCUCAGUAACAAACUCCACCAUUGUGCCAACAGGGAAGCUUUAGGUUUAUUAAAUGUUGCUAUGAAGGUUUCGCUGUUUUUCUUUGUGAAUGCAAUGUGCUCCAACUGAAACUUGAAUUAGAACUUAGAAGUAAAUCCUUCCAUCUGAAAGGAUUUAGUUGCAUUAAUAACCUCAUAACAUUCUAAUUUUUAUUCCAGUCUUGGUUGAAAAUAGAAUCUCUGUAUUGAUUCAGGUAAAAACUGAACUUCACAGCAUGUUGGAGCAAAGCAACCAGAUGAAAACUGUGAUGGUGUUGGAUUGUCAGACCGUAAUGUUGCAGCUUAAAGCAGCUUUUCUAUCUCGGUUCAUUCUGACAUUCAGCUAUGAAUCAACACAGCAGAUGGUGAUCCAUGCUGUGGAAGUCUCACAUCUCCUGAUUUAAUGGAGCUGCUUUGCACUUUUUACACUUUUUAUUCACCAACACUUUAUUUAUUAAAAGUCCCAUCUAGUUUUUAUGAGGAAUGUGAUGUUUUAAUUUCUCUGUGAAUAACUGCAGUCUAAUGUAACAGCUGGAGUUGUAACAUCUGUCCUGAUAUUGAUCAUGAAGUAUUGAUCAGAAUACUUAUGGUUAGCAGUCAUCCCUGAAGUUUUACAUUAAAAUCUUUAGUUGUGUUGUGAACUUUGGUAAGAAGCAGAAACAUUAGCGUUGCCAUGGAUAUAUGAGUGUUAAAUUCUGUCCAUGUUUCCAUUUUGGGAAAUGCAGUCCAGUUCCAGAAUGUGGAGGAAUUUAGUCUCACAAUCACAGACAACAAAUAUUAUCUGAAAGUCGGGUUAUUGUUGUUUAUCAGCACAAUACAAAAAGAUUAAUGUUAGAAAUAUUCCAGUUAAGACACUAGAAUAUCGUGAUUUAUGUAAAUUUACCUCAAUAAUAUUAAUGUUCAGGUUAAGAUUGUACAGUGAUAUUUAUGAUGUAAGUUUAGCUGAUUAAAGUUUAUGACUGCACUAAAAUAUUAUUUAAAUUGACAUCAUUAUUAUAAUAUUUAGGGUCAGACCCUACAGUAUUGAGAUUAAGAAAUAUAUAUACAUAUAAAAUGUAAAUACACUGAACUCAUUUGGAUAUAUUUAAGUGAGACUCUACAAUAUUAUUUAUGACACAAAUCUAUUCAAAUCAAAAUUUUAAUCAUUUUUACUCCAAACAUUUACUGGACUGAUUUAAAUAUUAAAAUCACUCCUUUCUGAUCCUCUGCUGUACAUUCAAACCUGAGGCCUUAAAUAGAAACACACAAGUAUCUGUUUGAAGGAACUUCUGUAGAAUCCUGGUUCCAGAACAUGAUGAUAGAAUUAUAGACAAACUAGAGGUCGACCGAUAUGGGAAUUUCAAAGGCCGAUGCUGAUACCGAUUUUUAAAAAAACUUUCAGCCGAUGGCUGAUAUCUAAAGCCGAUUGUAGAAGCCGAUUUUUAAGGCCGAUAUCCUUUUUUUUUUUUUUUUUUUUACAGCACAUCGAUUACAAAAGGCAAUUUAAACUCUAAAAGUAUAUACAUGUAUAUAUUACAAAUUAAAUACACUAGUAGAACUCUAACAUUUAUUGAACACAAAAAGUGAAAAAGUACAAUAACAUAAAAAAAAUACUUAAAGUUUACAAAAAAUACAAUUAAAAAGUCACCUGAAAGUGGUUAGGGUUAGGCUUGUUGUUGCCUGGCUCACUCGCUCAUGCUCCGCUCUCUGAGUGCCGGGGGUCCUUCUAAGGGAAAAGCGGUCGCGGCAGCUGCCCGUACGGGUGCCUGAUCACAAAUCGGCUUUUUAUUUGUAAAUAUCGGCCGAUGGCCGAUUUUGAAAAAAGUCCAUAUAUCGGCCCAAAAUAUCGGCCGGUCGAUAUAUCGGUCUACCUCUAAGACAAACUUUAACAAAAGCAGACUGAGAGUUUACAGUUUUUUAUGUUGGAUUUCUUCAGUAAUUUGAUGAACGUUAUCAGCAAAAAUCAAGUGUUCAUUUGAUGAACUUCAUUUCCUAAAACAUCCAGAAUUGGAGCUCAUAUCUUUGGCAGCUGUAAAGUUUCUGCUCCUUCAAAGUUCACAACACAAUGAAUGAAUGAAUUCCUAAAACACUCAAUGCUGGAGAGCGUUUGUGAUGCUGAAGCAGUGACCAGUUUUUCUGUUUCUUCUCUGGAGAUGCACAAUGAGGGACGUCUGCAGAGACUGAGAAAGAGUCUCACCACAUCCUGACAUCAGGAAAAAGACUUUAUUGAAGACUACAAUGAGAAAAACUAUCAGACAGCAGACGGCUGCAUUCAAGGUGAGCUCUGAACAUCUGAUCUGGAACAGGAAUUCAAUAACGGCAGCAUGAGCUUCAUUUCAGUCUGUAGCUGCUGAAUUCAUGGAUGAAUCAUCUGGCACUAGAGAAGAAGACCAUCAAACAUCCACGUCAGCUGAUGGAGGUCCAAGAGUCUCACUGAACAACCAACCUACAGAGUGAAGACCUCGAAUCUGAUUGGACGGCCUCCUAUUCAGCCACAUGUGUGAACAAAUGCCUCUAAGUUGAUUUGUUUUCUAAAAUAAAUCUAGUUUGAGUCAUAAUCUAUGCCUGUGUGUUUGCUUCUUUACACCGCUGUUAACAGUUUAGGCUGUUAGAUUGUUCCAGAUAAGACAAGUACAAGAUUCUUCAGAGCCGUUCUACCACGAGCCUGACAGGAAGAACUCCAACAGCUACUGAAUGUUCCUGUGGUCCCCUCAAGGCUACAGGAGGAGCCCUACGAGGACGAGCCGGUCCACCUGAUGGUGGCCAGUCGCUGUGGUUCAAAGCCAACACCGACUACGUGGACUUCUACUGGAGCACACGGAGGCCUUCAAACUGGACCAACAAGUUCAGCGACUCCCCGACUCGUGGGUCUGAGGACGCCGCCGAGCCUCGGCCCAGCCGGCCUCCUGUCUGUGGGUGUUUGAGUGCUGAGAGACCUGACCGUGAACACCGUUGACACCCACCUGAGGGAGAUGCUGCCUAAGAUCUCAAGGCUGCUUGGUCGUGGUCUUUCUGGUCCUGCUCCAGAACGCCUUCAUCAACUACAUCUUCUUUUGAAGAGGCCCUCAG